rnacentral:lncRNA from 12 species
AUGAUCCAGUCCAACUCCUCCCAGCCCUCCCUCCGCGUCGCUAGUUCUUUGCCCUUACUUGGCGACGGCUUCGUACGUCCGUGCGUACGUCGUGACGCAAUCUUCCACCCGUUCCUCCCCGCCCCUCUUCUAUUCUCUCCCUCCCGGAGCGGGCGGCCUGCGGGGUUACCGGAAGUGAUGAUGCAGGAGGCGAUGGAGGGGGCGGGGCUUGGGGGCGGCCGCCGCCGGUGGGCCGCAGAUGAAGAGGAGGCGGCGGCAGUGGUGGAAGAAGAGGCGGCGGCGGCGCGGGUAGGGAUCCUGGAAACGCGAGCGGGGAUGGUAGGUGGUUUGGACCCGCCGGGCCGCCGUCGUUUCCAGAAAGGGUUUGACUGGAGGAACCUCUGGAGCAGCUGUGUUGAUACCAGUGAACCAGGACCAAUUCUCCCUAAAUGUUGCAGUGUUCUGAAGCUCUUUGCACAAUGGACCAGGGUGUUUGAGUUAGUGUCUUUCAGUUCAAAUCUAGUUUCACUGAUUCUUGUGUCUGGUUCUCUAGGUGAUGGAAGGUCCUAUUUCUUUUGGGGGAACAAGAUUACCAUAGCACUUAACCAUUUAACUAAUGAGUAAUACAUAUUUAUUUAGCAAACAUGUUUAUUUACUUAUUUAAAUAUGUUUAGCAACAUAUUUAUUUAGCAAAGUAAUGAGAGAGAAGGUUGGAAGUGCCUCAAACUCUUAAUUCUUUGAAGUCUUGAUAUGCCAAAAGAAAAAAAUGGGAGGGAGAAAGUUCCAAAGAAUCUUCUUUUAGAUGUGUGUGAAUGAAACUUUACUUAAAUACCAUAUAUCAGAAUAGGGAAACUCAAUAAGUCAGUCUUGAGGUCGUGAUUAGCCCUUAUUGUGGCCAAAAUAAGCCACCUAUGUCCAGUGCAUCAGUCCCAACCUAAGUGCAUAGAAAGGUAGGCAUCAUGCUAAUGAUGAGAGUGUGGCUUUGCUUGGGACUGUCCUGAGUGGAGCUGUGCGGUGUUGGAUUUUGAGCUGAAUUGCAGCAUGGAAGGUUAGAUUACAUAGCUUUAGGAAACAUCUUUGGGCAGCCUGGGUGGCUAGUGGUUUAGCGCCACCUUCAGCCCGGGGUCUAUCCUGGAGACCCAGGAUCCAGUCCCGCAUCAGGCUCACUGUAUGGAGCCUGCUUCUCCCUCUGCCUGUGUCUCUCAUGAAUAAAUAAAUAAAAUUAAAAAAAAAAAAAAGAAAA